GGCGAACGCUGGCGGCGUGCUUAACACAUGCAAGUCGAACGGAAAGGCCCUGCUUUUGUGGGGUGCUCGAGUGGCGAACGGGUGAGUAACACGUGAGUAACCUGCCCUUGACUUUGGGAUAACUUCAGGAAACUGGGGCUAAUCCCGGAUAGGAGCCCCUGCUCCAUGGUGGGGGUUGGAACGUUUCGGCGGUUGGGGAUGGACGCGCGGCUUAUCAGCUUGUUGGUGGGGUAGUGGCUUACCAAGGCUUUGACGGGUAGCCGGCCUGAGAGGGUGACCGGCCACAUUGGGACUGAGAUACGGCCCAGACUCCUACGGGAGGCAGCAGUGGGGAAUAUUGCACAAUGGGCGGAAGCCUGAUGCAGCAACGCCGCGUGCGGGAUGACGGCCUUCGGGUUGUAAACCGCUUUCGCCUGUGACGAAGCGUGAGUGACGGUAAUGGGUAAAGAAGCACCGGCUAACUACGUG
rnacentral:rRNA from 1 species